UACGUAGGGUGCAAGCGUUGUCCGGAAUUAUUGGGCGUAAAGAGCUCGUAGGCGGUCUGUCGCGUCGGACGUGAAAAUCCAGGGCUCAACCCUGGACCUGCGUUCGAUACGGGCAGACUAGAGUUCGGUAGGGGAGACUGGAAUUCCUGGUGUAGCGGUGAAAUGCGCAGAUAUCAGGAGGAACACCAAUGGCGAAGGCAGCUCGCUGGGACGGUACUGACGCUGAGGCGCGAAAGCGUGGGGAGCAAACAGG
rnacentral:rRNA from 1 species